UUUAUCAUAUGGAAUGAUGAACAAAGGCUGCAAAAGUCUUUUCAAAUGGGUUUGUUUGCAGCCCUAUAGAGCAGAGCUCUAUGAGUUUAUUUGCAUCGUCAGGAGAAUCUAAACUAAUUUAAUUCAUGGUAGGGAGCAUACGUUAAUGACUUCUCUGGGUGGAGGAAGGUGGUGCACACCUCUCUUCUAACUCAGUGGUCCUGAUCUACAAGCAGGCCAAUAGAUCAAAACCAAAUGCUAUCUCAUGGGCUGGAUGCAACUGGGUGCUCAACGUCUAAAAGGGAUGGCGAAAUAAAUUACACAGAUCUCUGUGCAAGUCUGAUCAAGCUCUGAAAGGUGAGGCUCUUGAUUCAUGGCAGUCUGGCCAGUCACAGCCCUGUCUGAAGGGUCAGUCUGACUCUUCCAUGGUGUUUUCCACCUCCUCAAACGUUCUGCUCAGGAAGAAGUCACAGGAGGGACUUUCAGCUUUCCCCUGUCCUUGGCUGGCUGAGCUGGGCAUGUCAAACAGGAGAUGGAGCUGUUCCUUGAGGAUAAAUCUUCAUUUCUCUCAUGUGAAGAACUGUGCCGAGAUCUGCCCGUGGAAAAUUACUUUCUAGGAGCAAGAAUCACAAAGGACCUUUGCUUUCAGGCUUUUGUCUGAGGUCCACAGCAUAAUGAGCAAAAAUGGAAUGAAGGGUAUUAACCUUUGGAAGAUGAAAGAUUCGCACAGUGAUGGAAAUAUGUUACCAGCAAGUCUGAAGGAAUUUGCACGAAACAUGUUGGUUUAGGAUGUGAAACAACAGGGAAGAAUCAGACAAGACCUAAAUGGAAAGCAAAAAUCAGAAUAUCUCCUUUAAUGAAAGCAUGCUGUAAUAUGAAUGCCUUUUUGUUUGUGCAAACUUGUAGGUGUGCAUACAGGGAAAGGAAGGGGAAUAAACCCCAAAAGUGACUUCAGGCUGAUCUGAAAACUCCUCUGGGGUGCAAUUGCUUGUGCACUGUGGUUGAAGAUGGACCAGGAGUGUAACAUGUGGUCAGGCUGGCCAUAAUUCAAGUGCAGACUUGGUUCUGAGCAUCCUCAUUCCUGCCUCACUUCACCAUGAACCAUCCCAGGUCUCUGCAACUAAAUAGUUCCCAAAUUAUGGAGUUUGCAUCCUAAUCUGAAUUUUGCAACUCAAGCCUACCUGUGGUUAUGCAGUCAGACAGAAAAGCCAACAGCCAAGAGCAACGCCUAGUCACUGACUUUGAUCUAGAAAUGGUUAUUAUCCAGCUAUCUCCAUUACAAAACAUCCAGUUUGCUAAACCUGGGUUAUCUACUGAUUUGGCUUCAUUUGAUAGGCAAGAGCAGGUCUAGCAUGGGAGAGCUUCACAUCCCCAAACGAUGCCUCUGUCACAAAACUGAUAAGUGAUAAACCUUGCAAAACCCGCCAGUAGGAAAUGACGUCUGACCACCUCCCAGCUGGCUCUACAGUUACUCCUAAAGAGCACCACUGGCAGCCCUUGCAGAUGAGAUGGAAAAGUGAGCAAAUUCCUGCUUCACCCCACAGAGAUGAGUGUCUCCAGUGGGCAGAGAGAGGGAACGUGCUGCUGGUGACAGCUACAGCAGCGUGGCUGUGCAGAGGAGUUCAGUUCUCAAGAGAUGAGAUUAAGCAGAUUUUUCAUUUUUAUUUCCACACAACUUCUUUGAAUUUCUUUUUUCCUGGAAGCAUAGGAGGAAGUUACUUAGAAAGGAAGUCACUUUGAAUACUCUUCACUCCAGAUGAGAAAAAACUCUUUAUCUGAGGAGUGAAUUUGGGUCAGGAUGUAGUAGCACAGUCCUCAUGCUGAACAACUUGCUGAACAUGUGGUAGUGUUUUGUGACAUGGUCUGUGGAGUGGGAAGUAGGCUGAGCUCACCCAACCCACCUCAUUUAUGGCUUUACACAAGUAAAUAAGUAUGUUUUCAGCCACUCAACACAAGAAUGGCUUGCAAAUUGCAACCACCAUUGCCUGGCAGGUCAAAGGUUAACCUUUUCAACAGGUCAGACUGCAGUGCUAAUUCACCUCAGCAGUGAGUCCCAGGCAGCCUGUAAUGCAUACUUGUGGUGGUUGUAUUUGUACAGCAUACACAUAAAAUGAAAACCGUAUGACAGAGGUUAGUCCUCUCAAAUGGCUGUCACGUUGGCUUGGGUUGCUUUUGUACAGUUAUCCACAUGUUAGCCAAGAUUCUGGUGGUAUUUUCGUAUGAAUUUUAUUGACGUGGUGAACUAACUUGGCUAAUUUCAUAGCUAUUAUAAUCAGCCAGUGGCCCAAGAAAUGCACUGCUUUAUUUAUCUCAAAAAUGUUGCUAACUGGUCUGGCCAGAUUCAGCUUCCAGUGGUGGCCUUCUUCCAGAUGUGGAAAACCCCUUUUUCUGACAUAGAGGGUUCAGACAGUCCUCGUGUGCCUGCUCCACAAGAGCACUGAUGCUGUGGGCUGAGGGCUCAGCCCCUCUUUCCAGAUGUGUUUCCUCAAUGUUACACAAAGAAGGAGCUUGCAAGAGCUUCUUCAGCUCAGUUCACACCUGCCAAAGCUUGGACUAAGGCCUGGAUUAAAUGAAAUGUCUAAGUUAGGCAUUUAAACUCCCUUAUAUAUCCAGUUGGGGAUACCCUGGGGAAGUGCAUUUGUCCUUCUGUGUCCACUUUAGAGGGAGCCCGAGGUAACAAAUGUCCUAACACAGGGAUCAUAGCUGGGCACACAUAGUCCUGGAUAGCUACACACCAUGUCAAAAACUCCUCAAACUGCUUCUUCAGGGGGCUUAGAUUCUCAUACAACCUUGUGUGCCACAUGGAUAUUACAAGCAGACAUAAUCCUGUGAGUCCAGCAGUCCAAAGGUCUCUGUCUAAAUGACCAAAAUAAGUCAUUUACUGUUUUUUGUUGGCACAGAAGUAUUAAAAUUUCCUCCUCCACAAAGCAGGAAGAGCAGACACAGCCCAGGACUUCCUGCCCCAGAUCCUUCCUGACCAAGAUGCCCUGCUCCAAGGGAGGAGCUGUGACCUUCCAAGGCUGUGUCUUGGCACACCAGGACACGCUCAUGUCCAUAGCACACGUUCCUUGUUCUGUUGCAAAAAACAGGUGAAACAAAAAACUUACCACAUAGGCCAAUUUCAUGAGAUUUCUUCUGAAAAGUGAAAUGGCAAAUAGAGGAGAAAUGCCUGAGUGCACAUGGAAGGAGACAAGUGAGAUGUUUUGGGAAGCUCCCAUUCCCAUCUCUCAGGGUUCCUCUACAUCCUUAAGAAAAGAAGAUGAGUGCUCCCCAUCUUUGGUGAAAUGCUUGAUGGAGCUGGCAGUAGCACUCCAGUUUAACACUGACUAUAAAUGAUGCUUACAUUUCAACAGCAUUUUUUAAUAAUAUUUUUCAUAACUUUAAGCUAAAGGAGUUUCCACCAGGGUCAUUGAGAGUUCACUAAAUGCUGAUAGACUGUAUUCUGUAUUAAUGAUGCUAAGCUAACUGCCUCACAGAACUGCCAAACCCCUUUAUUUAAAGGAAUAGCACUUGUAUUUCACAAGAAAAUAUUUUUAAAGCUUUCCUUACUGAUAAUUUGUCUAAAGAGAGACAAAUCUAAUUAUUUAUGUAUAAUCUGAAAGGUCCAGUGUGGGAUGUGUUCAAUAAGAUACAUGCUUUAUUUAAACAUACAUUUAGAGCACUGUGCUACACAGAUCAUUAAAAGAUUUUUUUUUUAAUUUUAAAAUUAACAGAAUAUCAGCAAUUAGCUUCUGCAGCUAAUUAUUGGAUUUUAUAAUCCAAUUUUAUAAUAAUUUUCUGACUCUUCAGGAACAGCUACAAGGAUUUGGCAGAGCCCUUGUACUGAGCUCAGGAUAAGGGUUUCCACUCAAGAGGAGAAUUGCUGUGUAGGUCCCAGUUUCUACACUUCACAAGGGGAAGAGAUUUGCAGCAAAUCUGUCCCAGUUCACCCACAGCAGCUAGGUGUGUGACAGAGCUGGGAUUUAUCCCUUUGCAUGGGACAGUUGUUUAUUAGGCCAGAAAGUGGGGAUUUGUACCAGGCUGUAGGUAAGAUGCUCUCUUGCAUGGGUCAUGUGAGUCAAAAACCACCCUGGCUGGUACUUGUGGAAAUUCCACAGUGGUGGUGGCUUAAAAGUGGGUUUUUGUUACAGUCACAAAUGUGAAGUGGCCUUAAAGCAAAUUACUGAGAAAGUGGUGUAGGUGAGAGAGGGAAGAAUCUCUAGGAAUAGGUUUUUCCUUGUCAGCCCAGUGCAAUCCACUGAAACCCACAUGGCUGCACUGAGAAUUAACUCCUUGACUCCUCAGGGGAGAAUGAAUCUGUACAGAACAAUCUGCUCACAUUUCUCCCCUCCCAUGUCACACCUGAAAUCCAUACAAUUUUAGAGGAGCUAUUUCUAAGCAGAAACCCAAAGACAACACCAAAAAGUCUCUGCUUCCUACAAGUCUUCUGUCUACUCAUCAUGGAUCAAUUUAGGAAGCUGACAAAUCUUGCCAUUAGAGUGUGAAGACCACAGAAGUGUAAUGUGCAAUACCAAGCUAACCAAAAUGACUCUUUUAGCUCUGACUAUUUGUUUUAGUGACUGUUGCCAGAGUGUAAACAAAUUUUCAGAAAUACACUUGCUGUGUAUCCUCUUCAUUAAGGACUGGCACCACGGCCACACCCUGACAGAACUGAGAUGGCAUCCAGAACUUGUGAUAUCUUGAGAACUGCAGGUUCAGCUUCUCAGGUGAUGUGUGAUAGGUAUUUAUUGAGGGCUGUAUUCAAUGGGAAAACAAUUCCUAGGACACUUACCUCUCUGCUUUCCAGUGUGUGAGAACUGGUUCCAGCAUAUUGCUUUAUUGUCUGUGCUCCUGCCUAUCUGUGUAAGAUGGCAUCAAGUGACCCUAAACAAACUUGAGCUGAAGUACACAGGGAGAGGAUUAAUCAGUCAGGCACUUCAGCAUAAGCCUAAUGUUAAGCACACAACAUAAUGUUGAAGUGAAGUCAGUGGUAUUAUUUGUAUGUUCAAAGUUAACCACUGAGCUUAUCUGUUGUACUAUAUCAGUGCCUGAUGGCUUGUGCACUUACUUGCAAAUUUAAGAUACUUAAUGUGUUUAUUCUGGACUCUUCCUGUUGUUGUGCAUCAGAAAUUGUUGCCCUAAACCAAGCAGGGUAGUCCAGGCCUAAAGCAGCAGUGCAGCCCAGCUCCUCCUCAGGCAGAGACAGGGCGAUGGGAUGGAGCUGGCUAUGGGCAGGGAAAUGCACACAGCAGGUCUGCAGCAGCUCCAGCAGCUGACCAGGUUUUCCAGAGCCCUCAAGCAAAUGUCACUAGCUCUGGCUUUAGCCUCCAGGCCAGCAGUUAGGCCAGUGCUGAAGGUUUUGGAAGUUUUUUGCUCACUGGGCUGGGAAUAGUGGGAGGAGCGUUGUGGUUUCCCUGUGGCUGUCGCAGACAGAAGAGCUGAGUUCUGGGCUUUGUUCACUCAUGGAUAUUCUGCAUUUGUGCAAAUCCUCUCACUGCAUCACUGGCCUGGGCAUGACUGUAUUUUGCUGUUCCAGCUCCUCUUUGUGCAUGCAGAGGUGACAGACCCCAAGGCCCAGAGACACAAAACCUCUGUGAGCUGCACCACUCCACCUGACUCCUUCUUGUUUGCAUGGAAGGACAAUCUGGGGAGAUUUAGGCAAUAAACCAAAAUUCCCACCCACUAAUAACAAAAAAAAAAAAGUUCUUGAGUGAUGUGCUCAGCACCUUCUAUUCUCACUGAAGUAGCUCCUUGGGACUACUUUCAUGUGUCUUUAGGGAAUGUAACCAAAUUAUACCACAUGAGAGCUGGUAAUUUUAAUAUUAUGCUGUAAGGGGAAAUCUAUAAGCAUAACAGGAAAGACUGGAUGUUUUCCAUUCAUAUUUUUAGAAUGGUUGCUUCUCAUCUGUGCAUAUUUGCUUUUCAACAUCUCUGGCAAGAUCUACAUGAAUUA